rnacentral:rRNA from 1 species
GGCGCACGGGUGAGUAACGCGUGGAUAAUCUACCCAAUGAUCUGGGAUAACAUUCCGAAAGGGGUGCUAAUACCGGAUAAGACCACGGGAUCUCCGGAUUCUGCGGUAAAAGGUGGGGACCUUCGGGCCUACCGUCAUCGGAUGAGUCCGCGUACCAUUAGCUAGUUGGUGGGGUAAUGGCCCACCAAGGCUACGAUGGUUAGCUGGUCUGAGAGGAUGAUCAGCCACACUGGAACUGAGACACGGUCCAGACUCCUACGGGAGGCAGCAGUGGGGAAUUUUGCGCAAUGGGGGAAACCCUGACGCAGCAACGCCGCGUGAGUGAUGAAGGCCUUCGGGUCGUAAAGCUCUGUCAGAGGGGAAGAAAUGCAGGGUCGCUAAUAUCGUCCUUGCUUGACGGUACCCUCAAAGGAAGCACCGGCUAACUCCGUGCCAGCAGCCGCGGUAAUACGGAGGGUGCGAGCGUUGUUCGGAAUUAUUGGGCGUAAAGCGCGUGUAGGCGGUCUUUUAAGUCUGAUGUGAAAGCCCCGGGCUCAACCUGGGAAGUGCAUUGGAUACUGGGAGACUUGAAUACGGGAGAGGGUAGUGGAAUUCCU